UGCAAAGCUCGUCCAAACCCUCUGAUUUCCUUAACUUGGCCAAGAAAAAGAGGAAGUUCUCCGAGUGACUCACUACUGUGGUGCUACUAUGCCUUCUGACCCCGUCUUGGACUUCAUCUGGGAGAAUGUGGAGACAUUUGAACAGGCUCCUUCUCUGGAGCGUAUUUUCUUCUGUCACAUGUAGAAAAGCUGUAUUGGAUUGUGAGGCAAUGAAAACAGAUGAAUUCCCUUCUCCAUGUUUGGACUCGAAGACUAAUGUGGUUAUGAAGGGUCAAAAUGUAUCUAUGUUUUGCUCCCAUAAGAACAAAUCACUGCAGAUCACCUAUUCAUUGUUUCGACAUAAGACACACCUGGGAACCCAGAAUGGAAAAGGUGAACCUGCAAUUUUUAACCUAAGCAUCACAGAAGCCCAUGAAUCAGGACCCUACAAAUGCAAAGCCCAAGUUUACAGCUGUUCAAAAUACAGCCGUGACUUCAACUUCACAAUUGUCGACCCGGUGACUGCCCCAGUGCUGAACAUUACGGUCAUUCAAACAGAAACACACCGACAUAUAACAUUACAUUGCCUCUCAGUCAAUGGCUCGCUGCCCAUCAAUUACACUUUCUUUGAAAAGCAUAUUGCCAUAUCACCAGCUAUUUCCAAGUACGACAGGGAGUCUGCUGAAUUUAAGUUAACCAGGAAGAAUCCUGGAGAAGAGGAAGAGUAUAGGUGUGAAGCUAAAAACAGAUUGCCUGACUAUGCAGCCUACAGUCAAACUGUCACCACGCCGUCAACAGGCGGAGACAGCUGUCCUUUCUGUCUGAAGCUACUGCUUCCAGGAUUAUUACUGCUGCUGCUGGUGAUAAUCCUAAUUCUGGCUUUUUGGAUACUGCCCAAAUACAAAGCAAGAAAAGCUAUGAGAAAUAAUGUGCCCAGGGACUGUGGAGACACAGCUGUGGAAGUUGGAAUCUAUGCAAAUAUCCAUGGAAAACAAGCAAAGGAGGGAUCUGUCCCAGAAGUGGGAUCCAGACCAUGUGUUUCCACAGCCCAAGAUGAGGCCGAACAUUCCCAGGAGCUACAGUAUGCCACCCCCGUGUUCCAGGAGGUGGCACCAAGACAGCAAGAAGCCUGUGAUUCUUAUAAACCUGGAUAUGUCUAUUCCGAACUCAACUUCUGAAAUUUACAGAAACAAACUACAUCUCAGGGAGGUCAAGGCGGGAGGACUGCUUGAGGCUUGGAGCGCAAGACCAGCUUAGCCAACAUGAUACACAGCCACCUAUGAUCCUGAAGCGACAAUUAUGAAGAUAAACACCAGCGUACGAAAAGAUGGCAGAACAGAAAGGAAGUGCCUGGGUCCCUAACUAUAGGAACAGUAAUACUCGCUUUGGACAGUCUACCCUGUGGAGUUCUUGUAUAUGAGAAAAACAAACCCCAAUUUGCUUAAUCCAGUAUAGAUUUUUGUUUCUUGUAGCUGAACAUAUUCCUGAUACAAUGAAAGACAUCAAAAAUAUAAACACUGAAUGAAAGCAAGCACCACAAAUGUCCACUUCAUAAGUGCAAAGGGGCUAGAAAUGAAUCUGAGUGAACAUAAGACAACCAAAUUAGGAAAGAAGAAUAUUUAUUAUACAAAUAUAAAAAUCUAUACAUUCUUAGCUGAUGAUAUAUACUUAAUCAAAAAGUCUUUUAAUUUGGAUAUAUGCAUCAUUUCCUUCAUUGUCGUGUCUCUGCUUCUCAGAUGUAUUAAUCCAUUCUCCAAAGUAGUUUCAGUGAUCAAAACUGUGAAGAGGAUACUCAUUUCAUCAUACCUAAGAACAAAGUAGUUAAACAGACACAUGAGCACAAAUGUAAAUGAUAAAUUCCUCCACGUUGCCAGCUGUCAUGCCAGUGUCCAUGCACUCUCAAGAGUCACAAACUCAGUCAGGGCUUGAGGGUGAUCAAAAAAACCCAACAUUUGUAAAGUUCUGAAUCGUAUUUAAAGUAAAAUUUUCAGACAGUUUCUAACUUAUUGCUAGAGCUGAAAAGUCAUAAAAUCAAAUCUGAGAAUAAACACUGGUACCUCAACACAUCAUUUGGGCAUUUGGGGUGAUAACACAGAUGAACCUCAUAAUCUCCGCCUUUUGGUUCUUGGACGCAAUCCUAGAACAAUUAUUUUAGACGGAAGUCUCUUACAAUAAACAAUAUUAUAAUAAAGAUGCAAUUUGGUAUAACAAA